UCGCGUAGCGAAAGCGAAUGCUUUGGGGUGGGGUGACUGCGUACCUUUUGUAUAAUGGGUCAGCGACUUAUAUUCUGUAGCAAGGUUAACCGAAUAGGGGAGCCGGAGGGAAACCGAGUCUUAAUUGGGCGUUAAGUUGCAGGGUAUAGACCCGAAACCCGGUGAUCUAGCCAUGGGCAGGUUGAAGGUUGGGUAACACUAACUGGAGGACCGAACCGACUAAUGUUGAAAAAUUAGCGGAUGACCUGUGGCUGGGGGUGAAAGGCCAAUCAAACCGGGAGAUAGCUGGUUCUCCCCGAAAGCUAUUUAGGUAGCGCCUCGUGAAUUCAUCUCCGGGGGUAGAGCACUGUUUCGGCUAGGGGGCCAUCCCGGCUUACCAACCCGAUGCAAACUGCGAAUACCGGAGAAUGUUAUCACGGGAGACACACGGCGGGUGCUAACGUCCGUCGUGAAGAGGGAAACAACCCAGACCGCCAGCUAAGGUCCCAAAGUCAUGGUUAAGUGGGAAACGAUGUGGGAAGGCCCAGACAGCCAGGAUGUUGGCUUAGAAGCAGCCAUCAUUUAAAGAAAGCGUAAUAGCUCACUGGUCGAGUCGGCCUGCGCGGAAGAUGUAACGGGGCUAAACCAUGCACCGAAGCUGCGGCAGCGACGCUUAUGCGUUGUUGGGUAGGGGAGCGUUCUGUAAGCCUGCGAAGGUGGCCUGUGAGGGUUGCUGGAGGUAUCAGAAGUGCGAAUGCUGACAUAAGUAACGAUAAAGCGGGUGAAAAGCCCGCUCGCCGGAAGACCAAGGGUUCCUGUCCAACGUUAAUCGGGGCAGGGUGAGUCGACCCCUAAGGCGAGGCCGAAAGGCGUAGUCGAUGGGAAACGGGUUAAUAUUCCCGUACUUGGUGUUACUGCGAAGGGGGGACGGAGAAGGCUAUGUUGGCCGGGCGACGGUUGUCCCGGUUUAAGCGUGUAGGCUGGUUUUCCAGGCAAAUCCGGAAAAUCAAGGCUGAGGCGUGAUGACGAGGCACUACGGUGCUGAAGCAACAAAUGCCCUGCUUCCAGGAAAAGCCUCUAAGCAUCAGGUAACAUCAAAUCGUACCCCAAACCGACACAGGUGGUCAGGUAGAGAAUACCAAGGCGCUUGAGAGAACUCGGGUGAAGGAACUAGGCAAAAUGGUGCCGUAACUUCGGGAGAAGGCACGCUGACACGUAGGUGAAGUGAUUUACUCAUGGAGCUGAAGUCAGUCGAAGAUACCAGCUGGCUGCAACUGUUUAUUAAAAACACAGCACUGUGCAAACACGAAAGUGGACGUAUACGGUGUGACGCCUGCCCGGUGCCGGAAGGUUAAUUGAUGGGGUCAGCGCAAGCGAAGCUCCUGAUCGAAGCCCCGGUAAACGGCGGCCGUAACUAUAACGGUCCUAAGGUAGCGAAAUUCCUUGUCGGGUAAGUUCCGACCUGCACGAAUGGCGUAAUGAUGGCCAGGCUGUCUCCACCCGAGACUCAGUGAAAUUGAACUCGCUGUGAAGAUGCAGUGUACCCGCGGCAAGACGGAAAGACCCCGUGAACCUUUACUAUAGCUUGACACUGAACAUUGAGCCUUGAUGUGUAGGAUAGGUGGGAGGCUUUGAAGUGUGGACGCCAGUCUGCAUGGAGCCGACCUUGAAAUACCACCCUUUAAUGUUUGAUGUUCUAACGUGGACCCGUUACCCGGGUUGCGGACAGUGUCUGGUGGGUAGUUUGACUGGGGCGGUCUCCUCCUAAAGAGUAACGGAGGAGCACGAAGGUUGGCUAAUCCUGGUCGGACAUCAGGAGGUUAGUGCAAUGGCAUAAGCCAGCUUGACUGCGAGCGUGACGGCGCGAGCAGGUGCGAAAGCAGGUCAUAGUGAUCCGGUGGUUCUGAAUGGAAGGGCCAUCGCUCAACGGAUAAAAGGUACUCCGGGGAUAACAGGCUGAUACCGCCCAAGAGUUCAUAUCGACGGCGGUGUUUGGCACCUCGAUGUCGGCUCAUCACAUCCUGGGGCUGAAGUAGGUCCCAAGGGUAUGGCUGUUCGCCAUUUAAAGUGGUACGCGAGCUGGGUUUAGAACGUCGUGAGACAGUUCGGUCCCUAUCUGCCGUGGGCGCUGGAGAACUGAGGGGGGCUGCUCCUAGUACGAGAGGACCGGAGUGGACGCAUCACUGGUGUUCGGGUUGUCAUGCCAAUGGCACUGCCCGGUAGCUAAAUGCGGAAGAGAUAAGUGCUGAAAGCAUCUAAGCACGAAACUUGCCCCGA
rnacentral:rRNA from 1 species